UACACUCAACAGGCUUGGAGCCGCUACAAACGGGUGGACAGCAGUGAGAAGAAGAACGGCUUCGGUUUGAGGUUGUUUUCUUGUGGUUUUCAUGGACGUGACGCUGCAAGGAAGGCUCAGCCGACCCCCCACUACUCCCCGGCAAUGAUAGCAGCUUGAUCGGGCUGGUAUAGGAUUCCAUUUGCAACCCCAUCACUUUCCUGGCCCGAAACAACGGGGCCGAUUGUUCCACCCACCCUUUUAAUGGAGAAGGCCCAAGAAAGUCUGGCCUCUACCCCUGGCUGCCAGCGUAUCUUUUCUAUCAGGGCUCCGACUCGAGACGUGGGGGGGGGCAAACCUUGCCAAGACGGAUCCCUCCCACUGCCCUGCCAUCGUCACCUCCCUCUUUUUCGCUUUUCUCUCAGCUCCGAAGGACAUCAACAGGCUCGAUUUGUAGCAAAUUUGUUUCCCCGGCUCGUUUUAAUUGAACGACUUUGGCACUAACAAGAAGCUGAUUGAGCUCAAUAACAGGCGCUGCAGAGGGCGAGGGGGGCCCAGGGCCAGUUCUCUCCGGUUCUACGUGGAAUCGGUCCUCAGACUUCAAACUAAACCUGCUUCUUUGCAGAAGUUGUCUGUUUACACCUCUCUGUCUUCAUCAUUUUGAGAUGAAGCAUCUUCAAUGCGCAACAUCCUUUUGAAGCCCGAUAGUUACUUUCAAAUUUUACCUUUUCCAUUUUUACAAGCGGCUUGAUGGAGCGGCUGGCUAACUAAGUGAUGGUUUGCCGAAAAAAAAAAAUCACUAAACUAGGAGCAGAAAUAGAGGCAAUUAUUGUGAGUUAGAGAGACAGGGGGAGCCGGUGAUGGCAACCAUCGAACCUCUGAGCAUUCAUUUAAAUCUGCUUGAUGAAUGUGAUGUGAUGCAUGCACCUCAUCUGUGCCCCCCCCCCACCCCCCACCCAUCCACAACCACCACCUCCCCUUCAGUUUGUCCAGAGCAGUUAGACGGGAUUGUUUACUAUAACCUUGUAAUCAACCUGGCUUGGUUGACAGCUCACCAUUACCCCUGAUAAAAGACCUGCUGCAAUUUGACCUCUGAAAGAAGAUAUAUUUAAAAAGAAAGAAAAAAAAAACAGAAACACACUCAACGCGGAGGAGCCGCUCCAGCCCUUUUUGAUGCCUUAUUGAUAGAGCGCUGGCCCUGUUAUCUUUGAGCGUAAUUUGUUUUCAAGAACUGUGAUUUACAUUUCAUUGGGAUUACACCUUUUAAARCUACAGACGAUGGAGAAGUGGGCAGCCGCUGAAUACUCCACAUCUCUACCGGAGGAGGAGGUGACGGAGUGAGGCGGUGGCGGCGGCGCUGCUGCUGCUGGUGGUGGUGGUGGUGGUGGUGAGGGGGUUCAAACGAUGCAUUUCCAAGUCCUCAAGUGGAGAGGAUUACAAUUACAAUUAAAAAUCAAAAGGCCUGCGUGUCCAUCAAACGGCUGCCCCAUCACCCUUUGUGUAUCUACUGCUAAAUAAUGGCGGCUAGUGGAGGGUUGGCAGAUGCAAACGCUUUUUUUCGGCCUAAUUGUGGCAUAUUACCGUCGAUUGUUCAUCUGGAUAUUAUGCAAUAAGUGUUAUUUCAGGCAAGAACGUGGGGUCUAAAUGGCAUGCUAAUGUGAGUCGGUUGGCAGCGCUUUAAAGAAAAUCCCUGUGCGCUGCCAUUAAAAACAACAGCGGACGCRAAUGGCAAAGUUCAAUCAUCUUGUUUUGGAAACCGCCUUGAUGCAGGACAGAAAGUUCAACUCGGCUCCAGCUGCCACAGGGGGGGCCUGACACAGGUAGCGAACAAGACACCAGUGGACGCUGCAGCUUUUUGUUUGAAACAGAAGAAAAAUGACAAAAACAGAACAGAAAUGAUUCAGUGGAAAAUAAUAAAAACUCUGCAAGUUUUUACUGAAAGGGACGUGAAUUUACACUGAACUGA